CGCCUUGCCAGCCCGCUACAGAAACUCAAAGGAAUUGACGGGGGCCCGCACAAGCGGUGGAGUAUGUGGUUUAAUUCGAUGCAACGCGAAGAACCUUACCUGGUCUUGACAUCCCGGAGACCCUUAGGAAACUAGGGGGUGCUUCCAUCUGGAAGAAUCUGGAGACAGGUGCUGCAUGGCUGUCGUCAGCUCGUGUCGUGAGAUGUUGGGUUAAGUCCCGCAACGAGCGCAACCCUUGCCUUUAGUUGCCAGCAGUUCGGCUGGGCACUCUAAAGGGACUGCCGGUGUUAAACCGGAGGAAGGUGGGGAUGACGUCAAGUCCUCAUGGCCUUUAUGACCAGGGCUACACACGUACUACAAUGGCCGAUACAAAGGGCAGCGACACUGCGAGGUGAAGCCAAUCCCGUAAAAUCGGUCUCAGUCCGGAUUGGAGUCUGCAACUCGACUCCAUGAAGUUGGAAUCGCUAGUAAUCGUGGAUCAGCAUGCCACGGUGAAUACGUUCCCGGGCCUU
rnacentral:rRNA from 1 species